rnacentral:lncRNA from 1 species
CUCAAUUCAAUUAAAUUCUUCUUGGAUCUCCGAACUCUUAUAUCCAAGGCAUUCUUAAUGUAUACUAUUACUUAAUAUUAAUCAAUAUAAAUUAUCCUUCCUUAGUUUUCUUCCUUAUGUUACCAUAGUUUGUUUUACUCCACCUCGAUAUAAACAAAUUACUCAUUAUAGUUAAUCUAUGAAAUACUAUUGAACUCAAUCUUUGUAGUAUUAAGUAACCAUGAACUUAUUUUAUCAACUUCAUAUUUUAUCUACUUCUGAUACUUCUCAUUCUAUGUAUAGGUAAUAAUGUAAUAGUUCUCUUCAUAAU